UACAUACUCCCUCCCUUCGGAAUUACUCGUCCAAGAAAUGAAUGUAUCUAGAUGUAUUUUAGUUGUAGAUACAUCCAUUUUUGUGACAAGUAAUUCCGAAUGGAGGGAGUACUAC
rnacentral:pre_miRNA from 1 species